CUGCAAGUCGCAACAAUGGACACCACUCCACUCUCUGUAACAAACUCCAUGUGGCCCCGAACGGCCCAUUACCAGGCAGUUACAGACGUCGCUGUCAAUUGGUUACGCUCUCCCGUCUAUAAAACAGACCCCCCAGAUAUGUUCUCCUCUAAGCUCUAAACACUAUCUCUAAACUCUGCUAAAAUUUCAUUCGAGUGCUCCAUUUCUGUUGAAGCAGAGUACUGACUA
rnacentral:lncRNA from 1 species